UUAAAGAGAGUUUGAUCCUGGCUCAGGACGAACGCUGGCGGCGUGCCUAAUACAUGCAAGUCGAACGAACCAAAGAGAAGCUUGCUUCUCUGUCGGUGAGUGGCGGACGGGUGA
rnacentral:rRNA from 1 species